rnacentral:rRNA from 1 species
CCUACGGGUGGCAGCAGUGAGGAAUAUUGGUCAAUGGCCGAGAGCCUGAACCAGCCAAGUCGCGUGAAGGAUGACUGCCCUACGGGUUGUAAACUUCUUUUAUCAAGGAAUAAAGUGAGGCACGCGUGCCUUUUUGUGUGUACUUUAUGAAUAAGGAUCGGCUAACUCCGUGCCAGCAGCCGCGGUAAUACGGAGGAUCCGAGCGUUAUCCGGAUUUAUUGGGUUUAAAGGGAGCGUAGAUGGGUUGUUAAGUCAGUGGUGAAAGUUUGCGGCUCAACCGUAAAAUUGCAAUUGAUACUGGCAGUCUUGAGUACAGGUGAGGUAGGCGGAAUUCGUGGUGUAGCGGUGAAAUGCUUAGAUAUCACGAAGAACUCCGAUUGCGAAGGCAGCGUACUAAACUGCCACUGACAUUGAUGCUCGAAAGUGUGGGUAUCAAACAGGAUUAGAUACCCGAGUAGUC